GGGGGUGACCGGCUUUGACGGUCUGUACCUUGAGAAUGCGCGACGCGGUGCACGCUCACUUACCACCUAAAACUAGUGAGCACCUAAACGUGCCAAGAAAUCUCUUGCACGCGCAGUGUCGCCAUACUUCGGUAUGAACGACUUUGCGUUCGCGGCAGUGACGGCUCGAGCGUAAGCUCGCCUCGCUCUCGCGACGUCUCCCUACCUUGCGUUUGCAGGGGGUAGUCGAGGCGGAAUGUACUGCAUACUCGACGUGCGCGCGCCCACGCGUACUGUCUAAAUUUUGGGAUCCGACAGGAGUGAUUUUGUUUCAGUUCCUCGCACCCUGUCCUAGCUUCAACUGAAACUACGCGUCGUAGAAGCACCUCAUGGUCCGGAUUCGGACGGGAGUUCGAUUCUCCCCACCUCCACAU
rnacentral:tmRNA from 1 species